rnacentral:rRNA from 1 species
UGGCUGUUCGCCAUUUAAAGUGUACGCGAGCUGGGUUUAGAACGUCGUGAGACAGUUCGGUCCCUAUCUGCCGUGGCGUUUGAGAAUUGAGAGGGGUUGCUCUAGUACGAGAGGACCGGAGUGAACGAACCGCUGGUGUUCGGGUUGUCAUGCCAAUGGCAUUGCCCGGUAGCUACGUUCGGAACUGAUAAGCGCUGAAAGCAUCUAAGCGCGAAGCAGGCCUCGAGAUGAGUUCUCACUAGACUUUUAAAGUCUCUGAAGGGCCGUUGAAGACUACAACGUUGAUAGGCAAGAUGUGGAAGUGGUGUGAGCCAUUAAGCUAACUUGUACUAAUUACCCGUGAGGCUUAACCAUA